AUACGUAGGGUGCGAGCGUUGUCCGGAAUUACUGGGCGUAAAGAGCUCGUAGGUGGUUUGUCGCGUCGUCUGUGAAAUUCCGGGGCUUAACUCCGGGCGUGCAGGCGAUACGGGCAUAACUUGAGUACUGUAGGGGAGACUGGAAUUUCUGGUGUAGCGGUGAAAUGCGCAGAUAUCAGGAGGAACACCGGUGGCGAAGGCGGGUCUCUGGGCAUGAACUGACGCUGAGGAGCGAAAGCAUGGGUAGCGAACAGGAUUAGAUACCCUGGUAGUCCAUGCCGUAAACGGUGGGCGCUAGGUGUAGGGGUCUUCCACGACUUCUGUGCCGUAGCUAACGCAUUAAGCGCCCCGCCUGGGGAGUACGGCCGCAAGGCUAAAACUCAAAUGAAUUGACGGGG
rnacentral:rRNA from 1 species